rnacentral:rRNA from 1 species
GUGAGUAACACGUAUCCAACCUGCCCUUUACUCGGGGAUAGCCUUUCGAAAGAAAGAUUAAUACCCGAUGGCAUAAUGAUUCCGCAUGGUUUCAUUAUUAAAGGAUUCCGGUAAAGGAUGGGGAUGCGUUCCAUUAGGUUGUUGGUGAGGUAACGGCUCACCAAGCCUUCGAUGGAUAGGGGUUCUGAGAGGAAGGUCCCCCACAUUGGAACUGAGACACGGUCCAAACUCCUACGGGAGGCAGCAGUGAGGAAUAUUGGUCAAUGGGCGGUAGCCUGAACCAGCCAAGUAGCGUGAAGGAUGAAGGCUCUAUGGGUCGUAAACUUCUUUUAUAUAAGAAUAAAGUGCAGUAUGUAUACUGUUUUGUAUGUAUUAUAUGAAUAAGGAUCGGCUAACUCCGUGCCAGCAGCCGCGGUAAUACGGAGGAUCCGAGCGUUAUCCGGAUUUAUUGGGUUUAAAGGGAGCGUAGGUGGACUGGUAAGUCAGUUGUGAAAGUUUGCGGCUCAACCGUAAAAUUGCAGUUGAUACUGUCAGUCUUGAGUACAGUAGAGGUGGGCGGAAUUCGUGGUGUAGCGGUGAAAUGCUUAGAUAUCACGAAGAACUCCGAUUGCGAAGGCAGCUCACUGGACUGCAACUGACACUGAUGCUCGAAAGUGUGGGUAUCAAACAGGAUUAGAUACCCUGGUAGUCCACACAGUAAACGAUGAAUACUCGCUGUUUGCGAUAUACAGUAAGCGGCCAAGCGAAAGCAUUAAGUAUUCCACCUGGGGAGUACGCCGGCAACGGUGAAACUCAAAGGAAUUGACGGGGGCCCGCACAAGCGGAGGAACAUGUGGUUUAAUUCGAUGAUACGCGAGGAACCUUACCCGGGCUUAAAUUGCAGUGGAAUGAUGUGGAAACAUGUCAGUGAGCAAUCACCGCUGUGAAGGUGCUGCAUGGUUGUCGUCAGCUCGUGCCGUGAGGUGUCGGCUUAAGUGCCAUAACGAGCGCAACCCUUAUCUUCAGUUACUAACAGGUCAUGCUGAGGACUCUGGAGAGACUGCCGUCGUAAGAUGUGAGGAAGGUGGGGAUGACGUCAAAUCAGCACGGCCCUUACGUCCGGGGCUACACACGUGUUACAAUGGGGGGUACAGAAGGCAGCUAGCGGGUGACCGUAUGCUAAUCCCAAAAUCCUCUCUCAGUUCGGAUCGAAGUCUGCAACCCGACUUCGUGAAGCUGGAUUCGCUAGUAAUCGCGCAUCAGCCACGGCGCGGUGAAUACGUUCCCGGGCCUUGUACACACCGCCCGUCAAGCCAUGGGAGCCGGGGGUACCUGAAGUACGUAACCGCAAGGAUCGUCCUAGGGUAAAACUGGUGACUGGGGCUAAGUCGUAACAAGGUAGCCGUACCGGAAGGUGCGGCUGGAACACC